UUCCUACGGGGGGCAGCAGUGAGGAAUAUUGGUCAAUGGGAGAGAUCCUGAACCAGCCAAGCCGCGUGAGGGAAGACGGCCCUAUGGGUUGUAAACCUCUUUUGUCGGAGAACAAAACCCGGGACGUGUCCCGGACUGCGUGUAUCCGAAGAAAAAGCAUCGGCUAACUCCGUGCCAGCAGCCGCGGUAAUACGGAGGAUGCGAGCGUUAUCCGGAUUUAUUGGGUUUAAAGGGUGCGUAGGCGGUCCGGAAAGUCAGCGGUAAAAGCCCGGGGCUCAACCCGGCGAGCCGUUGAAACUGUCGGG
rnacentral:rRNA from 1 species